AUUGAACGCUGGCGGCAGGCCUAACAAAUGCAAGUCGAACGAGUGGCGGACGGGUGAGUAAUGUCUGGGAAACUGCCCGAUGGAGGGGGAUAACUACUGGAAACGGUAGCUAAUACCGCGUACCAUCGGAUGUGCCCAGAUGGGAUUAGCUUGUAGGUGAGGUAACGGCUCACCUAGGCGACGCUCCCUAGCUGGUCUGAGAGGAUGACCAGACAGACGGGAACUGAGACACGGUUGAGACUCCUACGGGAGGGAUGAGUUGGGAAUAGUGCAAAAUGGGCGCACGCCUGAUGCAGCCAUGCAGCGGGUAUGAAGAGGGCCUUCGUGUUGUAAAGUACUUGCAGCGGGGAGGCGUUACCCUCAGAAGAAUCACCGGCUAACUCCGUGCCAGCAGCCGCGGUAAUUC
rnacentral:rRNA from 1 species